rnacentral:lncRNA from 1 species
CAGACAAAUGGAUGGUGAGCAAGGUGAAGAGAUUUAUUGAGUAAUAGAACAGCUUAGAGGAGACCCUGGGGUGGGCAGUUCUUCCCUGUUGGUUGGCAGGUCACUGGAGUCUGGCAGACUCCAGGGCUGUCCAUGGACAGCCAUGGGCGGGCCUGGAAAAAGCACCACAAGUUCCCACUCCACGCAGCGGGAUCGGCAGCCCCUCCCCUAGGCUCAGGCCCUCCCAUCUUGAAAGUGGGGUUUCACCAGGGACCCACCUCCUUCUGCCCAGGGGCCUGUCUACCUCCUGCCUCCUUUCAUGGCGCCCAGGCUGUUUGUGCCAAGGGGCGUCUGCAGGCCAGCGCAGAGCUGCUCUCAACACCCCCUCAGACUCACUCCUGUGCUCCUCAGUGCCCAAAGUCUGGAUGGGGGGCGAGGCAGCAGGGGGCUGGCAUGUCAGUGCUGCAGUGAGUGUGUGCACACCCGGCCAGGCUACAACAGCACCUGGACUUGGCCUCAACCUGUCUCUUAGAUCGGAGAGGCCACAGGGUGUGAGGAGAGGCCAGGUAGCAGGAGCAGACACCUCCAAGCCUUCCCAGGCAGAGGGGGCCUUCCCAGGCCCCGGAGAGCGCAGAGAUAUCCAGGUCCACAGCCACAAUUUGGGUGGCUGUAGCCGUGCCCAGAAGGGUGGGGCUUGUGCCUACUCCAGGCCCCCAAGAACACAGGGAGGCCAGGGUUGCAACUGCGACUUGGGCAGUUCCAACUGCUCCUGGGUGGGCG